CUUCAGCAGGGCUGGGUCCACCUCCUGCUCCUUUGUGGCCCAUCAAAGGGCAGCUGCUGACACCAUGUGGCUUUGCAGUCUACUGGCAGCUCAAAGCAUGAUGGGAAGGCCUGCUAGGCCUUUGGAGGCCUUUCCAUACCUACAGCUCCUGAUUUCAGCAACGGAUGACUCACCUGGCUUGCUUGUGUUUUUCCUGGGUUGCUAACCCAAAAAGAAGUUCUGAUUGUGUGCUGCUACUGGGCCCAGGAGCAACUGCAGAGAAGGCCUGCUCCCGCGUCACGGACAGACGGGCUGGCGGUAUACGGAGACGGACCUCUCUUGAUUAUCUUAAUGUGAGGUGAUGUACAUGCAUGUGGGAGAAGAGCUGGUCUUGUGGUAAAGUCAGAUCAUAUUCAGGAGGAGGGCACCAGGAACAGCCCCUUUUGCAUAGUGGUACCUUCCUAUACUGUGGAACACCCUCGUGUUGGAGAUCCAUCUAGCUCCACUGCUGUUUGCUUAAGAAGAUUCACCUUAUUCUACAGGCAUUUUGCUUCCAACUUGAAUGGGAUCUAUUGAUGCUUCUGUUGUUGCUUGUUUUAAUGUUGCUUGUUUUAAUGUAUUGUUUCAAAGUGUUUUGCUUUUGGGGGGAUCUGUUCUAUAUUGGUUUUGUAAACUGUUUUAUAUCUCUAAUAAAGAACAAUGGAAUAAAAAUUAUCAAAGGAAAUACUAUGGGAAUAAGAAUUAUGUCAGCUUACCUUAUAGGAUGGUUGCAAACAUCACUGCAUUAAUAUGAUGUGCUUUGAGGAGCAGUUAGGAAAAGCAUUGCACAAAGCACAAAGGCAUAACCAUGACAGUACUUCUAUAAAUGUUUCUCCAAGAACCAAAGUGAAUGGGUACAGUUAUGCAGCAACAGCAAUAUGCCUCAUUAGUGGCUCAGAUUAACCCUUGCUGCUAUUGUGCACUGUUCUCUGCUACUGUGCACAAUUUUCAAUAACCACCACUGUGCAAUGGACCUUGAUAAGUAGUUAGUUGGUGCAUAUCGGUAGGGUUACUCAGUAGCUGCCCAUUUUAAUAAGGUACCACCAAAGCAGCUUGUCAGAAGGAGAGCCAACGUCUGUCUUCGCCUUUGUUCGAGGAUAAUGCCACACAUACUGAGCAAUGGUUUCAUCAAAACUGGUGGAUUCACUCGCCAAGCACUGUAUUACUUGAUGCAAAAAAAAAAAAAAAAAAAAGUGGGAAAUUGAGUCCUUCACAAUUCACAGUAGAGUGUAGCCAUACAAAAAUCUGAAUUCAUGUUGAGUUAAGCGAGCCUUUUGUGAAAUGCUGUACAGUAGGUAGCAUAAAUGGGAUGCUGGAGGAUGAAAUGCAGUAGUUAAAAGUGGAAAUACUCCACUGCUGAGUUUUAAUGAAACUGCAUAGUGAAAGACUUUACCACACACAAAUAUUGUAGAAGUCAAUUACAGAAGACUGGUUUCUGCUGUUCCAUUGGAAAGAACUUCAGACUGGAAGUGGCAGCAGUCAACUUCACCAGAUAAGUAGAGCAUCUGUGAGAAUCUGUGAUGUGUGCAGACCAAGAGCUGCAUAUUGGCACCAAGAUAGGGAGUUUGAUUAGAGGACUCAGAUGAAGAAAGAUUCACAGAGCCUUAGAUAAACCCUCUGCACAUAGCCUUGCCACCUACUCCUGUGCAUAGUGUAGAGAGCCUAUCACUUAAUCAAUCAAUCAAUCAAUCAAUCAGCUGAAUCCAGACCAUCGCAGACCAUCCAGAAGUGAUAGUAGUUGUGGACACAUGGAAUUCUAGAGGAGGAAGAGUUGCCAAUGGUUUGUGAUUAUACCCCAGCUCUGCUAAAUUGCAUUUAGAGUACCUGAGUCCAUCUGGGGGUCAAUACUGCCUUGCUAUCAGCAGCACCCAGAAAUGUAUCGACUUCAUUAGCAAACUUCCCUGGAGCUCUGGGAAUUGGUGUCCAUUAUCCAUGUUGUGAUAGCCUCUAGAAUCUAUGAGUUCAGAGUGCUUUAUAGGACUGCUGAACUUGAUAAUUAUUAUUUUAUUAUUAUUUAUUAUUUAUUUAACAUACUUAUAUACCGUCCAAAACUUACAUCUCUGGGUGGUUUAAAACAAAAUAAAAACAGAAAGUAAAACAUUAGUUAAAACAGAAACAAAAAGUUUAAAACAUUACAACAAUUUAACAUUUUAAAAACAGUAUUUUAAAACAGCAUUAAAACUAUUAAAACAAUAUAAAUUAAAAGCCUGGGUGAACAGAUGUGUCUUUAAAGAGAAAGCUUAUGCUAGCGAGGAAUGCAUCCAUUAAAAGUACUAACACCCCACAAUGACCUGCACCGGCCAGGGGUCCUGAAGAACUUCUUAAAAUUGGCAUUUUGAAACUCAAGCCACAGAAGGGGCAAUUGGCUAGGAGGCUGGCUCCAGCUCCAUAAGGGGAUGUUGUACAGUGGUCCUCAGGUAAAAGGGAGAUGGGGACAGGGCAGUGGGGGAAGAAAAAGGGUCUGGUUAAAUGUCUGAGAAAUGUCUGGUCUAAUCUAAGUUAACUCUGACAGUAUGUGGGGAAGACAUGUUGGCCCUUCUGACAAUUUUCCUGUCUUAGUGGGUUAGGUUGGAUAAAAUCCGACAUUUUUUUCUGGUGCAUAAGCCUAGUAUUUCCCACACCAGUUAUUCAAAUCUUAAAUCUACAUGGCCUGGAAUGCACAUUCAGCUUAUUAAAUGGCACCCUUCCACUUUCUGUCCUGCAUGAACAUUUAAGUAUGCACUAAAAUAGCAUGAGAGGCUCAAAGGCACUUUUAGUGUCAUGUGUGAAAACACCCUUUUUCCUUAAUUCCUAAAUCACUUUUGAAAUGGGUUUAAAUUCCUUCUGAAAAUAUGUCCCUUAGGUACUUAGGAGGAUUCACUUAUACGGAGAGAUUAAAAGGCAUAAAUAUAUAUAAUUCAUCCAAGCUCUGACUAAGGGGAGACAUAAGUAUCCAUAAAUAUUUGAAGGAUAUAAACACCAAGGAAGGAAAUGAAUUAUUUACAUCAGUACAAGGGACGUAACAAGAAGUAACGGGAUGAAAUUAAGGAAAGGAAAAAAGCAGGCUCCUUUUCAGCACUGAGAUAUUUUCUAGUAAGAAAUAAUUUACAUCUUGAAAGUGAGACAUGUUAGCCCGAUCUCCCAUUCAAGGUAGCAGAAAAUCCUGACCCACAGUGCUUAGUAGUACUAGAGCUCAAUCCUACCUGGAUCACAGUCCCUCUGCCCUGGUAUCCCAUUCCCAACCUCAACUGUGUGAUAAAAGAAAGGUGUUUUAUACAUGCUCAAUGACAUUCUUCUUUCUGUU